rnacentral:lncRNA from 1 species
CAACCACUUUUCCGGAAAAGAACACUCCUUGCGGUGGAUCAGACCGCCAGUGUUCGUGAAAUGCGACGAGUAUGGGGCGAUCAAUGCAAUAUGUUCAAUGAUCAACCGUCGGCAACCGGCCGACAAUCCUGCCCCCCAGGGCCCAUCGACCGCAUGGGUCAUCCUGUAAACAAAUCGACCAACCAGGUCGUAAGUAUAGGGUAUGAAAC